rnacentral:rRNA from 1 species
AACGCGAAGAACCUUACCUGGGCUCGAAAUGGAGUGGACCGGGGUGGAAACAUCCCUUCCCCGCAAGGGGCUGCUCUAUAGGUGCUGCAUGGCUGUCGUCAGCUCGUGUCGUGAGAUGUUGGGUUAAGUCCCGCAACGAGCGCAACCCUUAUUACCAGUUGCCAUCAUUCAGUUGGGCACUCCGGUGAGACCGCCUCGGAUAACGGGGAGGAAGGCGGGGAUGACGUCAAGUCCUCAUGGCCUUUAUGUCCAGGGCUACACACGUGCUACAAUGGCCGGUACAAACCGUCGCAAACCCGCGAGGGGGAGCUAAUCGGAAAAAGCCGGCCUCAGUUCGGAUUGCAGUCUGCAACUCGACUGCAUGAAGCUGGAAUCGCUAGUAAUCGCGGAUCAGAACGCCGCGGUGAAUACGUUCCCGGGCCUUGUA